AUAUACUCGAGUAUAAGCCGACCCGAAUAUUAGCCAAGGCACCUAAUUUUACCACAAACAAAUGAUUGACUCGAGUAUAAGCCUAGGUUGGGAAAUGAAGCAGCUACUGGUAAAUUUCAAAAAUAAAAAUUGAUACCAAUAAAAUUACAUUAAUUGGGGCAUCAGUAGGUUAAAUGUUUUUUAAUAUUGCUUUCAAAGAAAAACAGUAAACUAGCGCAGUAAUGGGAAAAGAGGGUCAACAAAAACAAUAUGGUCACAACAAUAACUUUAACAGUACAAAAACCUUAGCUCAAUCAGCAACUAAGCUAAAAGAGUUAAAACCCUUAAAAACUGGAUUCCUCCUCAUCAUCUGUAUGUCCAAACAGAGCUUUAGCUGUAGCUGGUGUGAGGUUAUCAGGAUAGACAUUGUCAUCAUCACUGAGUUCGUAGUCAUCACCAUCACUGCAAUCGUUCUCAUACAAAGCGCUGUCUUCCCUGCCAUCCAUAGCAUUACUAAUGCCACAUUUCUUGAAGGCGCGUCGCACAAUGUUCUCUGGAAUCUCUUCCCAUGCAUCACGAACCCACUUUGCUAUCAAUUCUAUGUCGGGCUUCAUCAGAUUCCCAACUUUUGUCUGUCGGGGGUGACCAGAUGACAUCCAUUCAUGCCACCUCUUUCGCACACGGUCUUUGAAAGGUUUAUUUAAACACAUAUCUAGGGGCUGCAAUACAGAUGUAAGCCCAUCUGGAAUAACGGCCGAAGUAACUUGAGAAGACUUUGCCAAUUUUUUUAUGUCAUCAGAUGUGUGGGCUCUGAACAUAUCCCAAACUAGCAAUGAUGGUUUUUUCUUUAAGGCUGCUCCUGGUCGUCUGUUCCAAAUUUCUUCCAGCCAUUCUUUUGUUCCGUCUUCAUCCAUCCAGCCUUUAACAUGUGCGCGCACUGUAAUUC